GUCAAGAUCACAUGUGGUUGAGCUGUAUAUACGUUGGAUGUUUCUUAUAGUGUGGUUGAACUGUAUGUGUCGGUUGAGUGAGUGUACGUGCAGUUGGGCUGUGUGCGAAGUGAGAUUGCACGUGAAAAGCAGGCAGUUUCUGCGACUUAGUCAUAAAAGGGGACGGUUUGAUGUGACGGGUGCAGUCGUGAUAUGAUAGAGCGGAGCGACGGUGUGAAAGCUGAGCCAAGAAAAUUAUCAUGGCUGUCGGGGCCGUAUUGGCUUGACGGCCUGUGUGCUGGCUAGUUGAGUGUGGCGGGUCAACACCAAGUAUGCUGACCAGCGAAGUGAUGCCUCUCACCAGUGUUGUGACCGGACGUUGUCCAGUGCCAAGUAUGGAGGGCAGGGUAGCCUCAAGGUAUUGCCGGUUGAGUGUGGCGGGUCAACUCCAAGUAUGCUGACCAGCUAAGCGUGCCUCCUCACCAGUGCCUCUCACCAGUGUUGUGACCGGACGUUGUCCAGUGACAAGUAUGGAGGGCAGGGUAGCCUCAGGGUAUCGUCAGACAGGGUGUGACCGUGUUCGUGAGGACGUGAACUGUACAUACCAUUAAUCUGUGCAACCUCCUGUAUAGGAGCUGAUCGUCAAAUAGAUAUGGACUGGAAUAUUACAUUUUUGUAAAUGUUUCAUUUGUAUGCCUAUAUUUGAUUUGUGUAUUGUGUAUAGGAGUAUGAGUGUAUUGGGUACCGCUGGUGUAAUGGAGUACUGAGUGUGUAUUUGAGUGAUGUACUGAAGGUGUAUUUGAGUGAUAUAUGACUGAGAUGUUUGGAUGAAUGUAUUUGAGGUGAGAAAGGGGUGUGCAAGCUGAAUAUUUGAACUUUUCUUGAUUUUCCAUUUCAUUUUGUUUUGAAAUAAAUUAUAUUUAUUUCAA